AUUCUCCUUCUUGGAUCAGUUCAGAUCCUUUCGAUGUCGAAGAUGGACUAAAGGAGGAUGUAGAUGGUGGAAGAAAGUCAGAGAAACUCCUUUCUCUGAUUUGAAUUUCUCUCUCCCAAAAACCCUAAUGCCUACGGCCUAAAAAUCUCAUCCAAAAUGAGACGAUCUCCGCUAAACUCACACACCAACAACUUAGCCACCCACCCC
rnacentral:lncRNA from 1 species